AUACAGCACGUGUUCUAGUGCCCAGACUGUUUUCUUCCCACAGAAGCCAGAAGAACUCAGCCCACAGAAGUGUCCCUGCAACAUGACCUUGUCACCUACAAAUGUGCUGGGCCACAUUCACAGCUAUCCUGGGGUACACGUGGCAGCUGGGCAUGCCUACGAAGAAUCUUACCAAUUCCAGAACUCGGGAUCCUCAGGGCUAGGGCAGAGCCAAGAACAAACGGGAAUGCACUUCAAUUGAGCCUCAGUUGAACAAGCCCCUUUAAUGCCAUGCCACUGGGGGUGGGGUGGGGCGGGGCUGUAAAGCUCCUGUGGUCUGUGGCCAGCUGUUAUCACAUUUGCGGCUUUGUAAAGGAGGCCAUUUUGUUGUUGCCUAUGGUUUGUUUUAUUUUUGAGAAAGGAUCUUACUAUGUGACCCAGGCUGACAGUGAACUUGAAUGCCUCCUGCCUCAGCCUCUCAGGUGUUGGGUGUAUAGGUGUGUGCUGCCGUACCUGGCUACUGUACAUAGUUUUGUUUUUCUUGAGACAAAGUUUCAUGUAGCCCAGGGUGGCCUUAAACUCCAGAUCCUCUUGAACUACCUCCUAUGAUGUAAAAGUUCUAUAAUUUAUUUCCUCACUGGAUUUUAAUAAAGUGCUGCUGUUUUGUUUUUG
rnacentral:lncRNA from 1 species